AUGCUCACUUCAGCAGCAUAUAUAUUAAAACUGGAAUGACACUGAGAAGAUUAGCAUGGCCCCUGAGCAAGGAUGAUACGCAAAUUUGUGAAACAUGCCAUAUUUGG